rnacentral:rRNA from 1 species
GCGUAUAUGGGGGGCACCUGAUCAGCAUGCCGCGUGUGUGAAGAAGGCCUUCGGGUUGUAAAGCACUUUUAUCCGGAACGAAACGUUGGGGGUGAAUAUCCGGGAAGACUGACGGUACCCGAGGAAUAAGCACCGGCUAACUUCGUGCCAGCAGCCGCGGUAAUACGAAGGGUGCAAGCGUUACUCGGAAUUACUGGGCGUAAAGGGUGCGUAGGUGGUUUUUUAAGUCUGCUGUGAAAUCCCCGGGCUCAACCUGGGAAUGGCAGUGGAUACUGGAAAGCUGGAGUGCGGUAGAGGGUAGUGGAAUUCCCGGUGUAGCAGUGAAAUGCGUAGAGAUCGGAAGGAACACCAGUGGA